rnacentral:rRNA from 1 species
AUUGAACGCUGGCGGCAUGCCUAACACAUGCAAGUCGAACGGCAGCACGGCAGUAGCAAUACUGUGGGUGGCGAGUGGCGGACGGGUGAGGAAUACGUCGGAAUCUGCCCAGUCGUGGGGGAUAACUAGCCGAAAGGUUAGCUAAUACCGCAUACGACCGAGAGGUGAAAGCGGGGGGACCGCAAGGGCCUCGCGCGAUUGGAUGAGCCGACGUCGGAUUAGCUAGUUGGUGGGGUAAAGGCCUACCAAGGCGACGAUCCGUAGCUGGUCUGAGAGGAUGAUCAGCCACACUGGAACUGAGACACGGUCCAGACUCCUACGGGAGGCAGCAGUGGGGAAUAUUGGACAAUGGGCGCAAGCCUGAUCCAGCAAUGCCGCGUGUGUGAAGAAGGCC